rnacentral:lncRNA from 1 species
UUUUUUUUUUCAUUAAAUAUAAAAUGAUGAACAUUUCUUGAGGCCCAUAGAAUUGGGGGCUCUAGACCUACGCUUUUUGGGCCUAUGCUAAGGGCCGGUCCUGAUUCUCCCCCUUUGCCUUGCACCACCGAUCGAGACAGCUCACCGCCGACAAGACUGAAUUGGUCGCUUGAUCGACGGCCAAACCCUUGUCGAAGCAACCCCACUGCCGACCACGAUAAUUUUUUUAUAUUUUUAUGUUAGUUAUGAUCUAGACCAACCCCAUAUUUUGCGAGAAAUUUUAAAUACACAUCCCUAAUCUCUUAAUACACACCUCUAUUAUUUUAUGUUUCUAUUGAGAUGUAAUAUGUAAGUUAAAUGACCAAAACAUACAUCUAUUAUUAAAAAAAAUAAAUUCGCGCUAGAAAUAUUUUUUCCAACGUCUUCUACCCUAAAAUCGUCAAAAACACAUAUUCUCCCCUAACCCAAUUCUUCUCCACAAUUCAUUUGGGUUGUCUUUUUUUUUUUUUUGUUUAUCCGUAUCAGCUUUAGAUUUGAUCUUACAGAUCAUAUUGUCAAGUACUGCAUCUUUAUCAACUUUAGUUUGAUCUUGGAGAUUAUAUUGUCAAGUACUGCAUCUUUAUCAUAACAUGUUUUAUCGAAUAACUAGCUAUCUAUGUUAAUAGCUACUGUACUUCUACAGUUGUACUAGCUAGCUUGUGAAUUUUGAAAACUUAUAUUGGUGAUUCGGAGUCGGAAUAUAACAAUAAUCAUUUGAUUAUAAAUUGAACGAUGAUAACCAAAAAUUUCUAGCAAAAAUUAGACGAAAUAAUAUGUAAAAAGAGGUACCAAAUAGUAAAUGUAUAUUAAUUAUAUUAAAUAACGGAAUAUUUUAUAAAUUAAGGACAUUUUAGGCAGUUUGAGAUGUGUAUUAAGUAUAAUACUGAAAUGAAAAACUUGAUAGGUGAUGUAUUAAUUAAAGAAUGUGUAUUAAGAUAUUAGGGGUGUGUAUUUAAAAUUUCUCAUAUUUUACAUAUGCAAGUUUGUCUUCACUGCUGCGACUUGUCAACUUAACAGCAAAAUACAACUUCACCACUUCUCGUCCAAACGACAAGUAGUUUCUACAGAAGCUCUCAUCCAGUCCAGUCAUUAGU